AUGGCCGGGCUUCUGGAUUAAGGAGGUUUCACAAUAUUGAAGAUUAACCAUGCAGUGACAGACCCGACCGAAACACGAUCUUGUUUAGCCAUGUCGGCAGUCAUCCAAUCAAACACGCCAUCGUAAUGGAGGACCCGGAAGUGGUUGUCUGCCGACUAUAAUGAGAUUCAGAAGUUGUUUCCAUGCAAACAGAUGUACUGAGCGUUGUCUCAGACAUGUCAGGAACAUACCUACAUGGUCGAUACACGCUAUGGUCUAUGAGACGCCGCCUAAUGUACGUUUUGAAUGAAGAUAAGAACAUCAAAAUGCACGUGUAGCUUUGCUGGAAGCUGUGGAUUGACUAGAGAAAUAUUUGUUGAACAAGUUCUUAUUAAUAUUGAUUUCGACGUGUCCUGAGAGUCUUUCCUUCGGUCAGAUCUACAAAGAUUUAAAUAGAAACUGGACAUAUCUGUAAUGUGACAUCAACGGACAAAAACAUGAAACACAUUGGUUAUGUAUCUAGAUCGACUGUAGUACAUUCUCUACAUUCUAUAUGAAACUGGCCAUUUAGGCAGAUGAUGUAUGUUUGAUGCAGUUUUAUACUAAAUAUCUUCAACAAGUAUAAACGUAUGAGGUAUGCAUCAUUUAUUAGUUUACAUGUAAAUGACUAGAGGCUGUUUACUAACGCCAGUUCUUAAACUUACUAUGACUGAAAUAAUCAGACAUGUGUAAUGAAAGGAAUCAUCCCAUCAAAUAUGCGAUUACGGCCAAGGAGAUUGGUGCGAGUUUUCACAGCAGUGAUCGUGCUGUGGCUCGGGGUUACACUGGUUCGGCAUCUGUGGCAGACAACUUCAUCGUUUUGGAAGGAUGAAGACGUGGACCUGGGGCCCAUCGAGUCAGAUAUGGAUAUCCCCCAAGCUUUUGUAAAGUCAUCCGAGGGAACAUCGACGCCUGUGGUUGUUGUUGAGGAACACUAUGAAGUGUUGAAGUACUGGUUUGCUGCCUCGGAGAGCGGGCUGGUGCCAUCAGCCGGGGGAAUGUCCUGUUCCAUAUAGACGGUCACAGUGACAGUGGUGCUCCACUUGACAUCAAUGUACUGCCUCUGUUCCGAGCCCCAGCCAACAUCCAGGAGGUCAAUAACAUGAUGCAGAGAAAUGAUGUAUUUAUUGUGGCUGCUGCCCUUGCUGGCCUCAUCGACCGUUACAUCUGGGUGUGGCCUCCAUGGGAUCUGCCAAAUCAUGAAUCAGAUCACGUGAUGAUCGACAUGCAGGUUGGUUACUUACGCCCGUCAAUGUCAGUCACUGACAAGCUGGAACUGUGUUAUUGCAUGGAGAUGCGGGACACGGAAUUCAGCGAGUGUCGAAUGAGGAAUGCCUCGGACCCUGAAGGCGAUGGAUCACUGAUUGGUCGGUCAGGGUGUAACCUGAACAAAUCUGGAAUAGUGGAGGUUGUGAGCGAACAGAAAGCCAUAUCUUUGAUGCAGACGGGCCAGUGGAUUACCCCCCUUGAUAAUGUUAUCCUUGACAUUGAUGAGGACUAUUAUGGCUGCCAGUCUGCAGGAGAAGCUCUGUACUCUGCUGGAAUCAAGUCCAAUGUUCUAAAUUCUAUCACCGAUAUCAUGUGUGAGUUGUUCUGUGCCCGGAGCGUCCAACAUGAGACCGUGAUCGAUACUUUCUUCCACACUCUUGUACAGCUCGUCCACAGGUUAAAGACAGACGCAGAUACAAUUCUCAAAGACAGUACAAAAACCAAAAAAGAACUGGAGGUACAAAAAAUUGUGUACAGAAUCCUGCCAGAAAUAUUCAAACACCUCAAUGAGGAUCCACUCAGUGAAACACUAUGUAACAAUCCCACCGAUAUGGCAAAUGAGUUAUUCUUACAAGGAAUAAUUCGCAAUAUCGUACAUAUGGACAUCAAACAGUUAACAAGCCUUGCAGAAGCAGGCGUCUGCCUUCAACUCUCACCAAAAGCCCACUAUUUUAAUGUAGCGAACAGCAUCCAGGUUUGCGAAGGAGCAAAUACCCCAGACAGCAAAA
rnacentral:misc_RNA from 1 species